UUCGUUUGACGAUAUUAUUUAUUAUCAUAAACAUAUGUGCCCAUAAUUAUGAAAGUGGUCUAAGUCAUAUAUUUCUUGUUUCGAGAUAUUUAAUGAAUUGUGU